UCCUACGGGGCGCAGCAGUGGGGAAUAUUGCACAAUGGGGGGAACCCUGAUGCAGCGACGCCGCGUGAGUGAAGAAGUAUUUCGGUAUGUAAGGCUCUAUCAGCAGGGAAGAAAAUGACGGUACCUGACUAAGAAGCCCCGGCUAACUACGUGCCAGCAGCCGCGGUAAUACGUAGGGGGCAAGCGUUAUCCGGAUUUACUGGGUGUAACGGGAGCGCAGACGGCUGUGCAAGUCUGGAGGGAAAGGCGGGGGCCCAACCC
rnacentral:rRNA from 1 species